rnacentral:lncRNA from 1 species
UCACUCUCUCUGUCUAGGUUUCUCUCCAGGUUUUGUCCAGGUUUUUGUUCCAAGGAAACCUCAUAGUGUUUUGCAUCUCUUUCUUUUUCUGUCUGUUCUCCCUCUUUUAUAACCUGAUUUUCAUGGCUUUGUGGGCUCAAAUGAGAGAGGUCAAAGUCUGAGAUUUUUCUUUUAUUUAUUUAUUAAAUUUUUUUUUUCUUUUCGUUUUUC